rnacentral:rRNA from 1 species
GAUGAACGCUGGCGGCGUGCCUAAUACAUGCAAGUCGAGCGAACAGACGAGGAGCUUGCUCCUCUGACGUUAGCGGCGGACAGGUGAGUAACACGUGGAUAACCUACCUAUAAGACUGGGAUAACUUCGGGAAACCGGAGCUAAUACCGGAUAAUAUAUUGAACCGCAUGGUUCAAUAGUGAAAGACGGUUUUGCUGUCACUUAUAGAUGGAUCCGCGCCGCAUUAGCUAGUUGGUAAGGUAACGGCUUACCAAGGCAACGAUGCGUAGCCGACCUGAGAGAGUGAUCGGCCACAGUGGAACAGAGAUACGGGCCAGACUCCUACGGGAGGCAGCAGUAGGGAAUCUUCCGCAAUGGGCGAAAGCAUGACGGAGGAACGCCGCGUGGGUGAUGAAGGUCUUCGGAUCGUAAAACUCUGUUAUUAGGGAAGAACAAAUGUGUAAGUAACUAUGCACGUCUUGACGGUACCUAAUCAGAAAGCCACGGCUAACUACGUG